GGGCCCAUAGCUCAACAGGAUAGAGCACCAGAUUUCUAAUCUGGGGGUUGGGUGUUCGAGCCACCCUGGGCCCGCCA
rnacentral:tRNA from 1 species